UAGGGAAUAUUGGACAAUGGGGGCAACCCUGAUCCAGCCAUGCCGCGUGAGUGAAGAAGGCCCUCGGGUUGUAAAGCUCUUUUGUCCGGAAAGAAAAGCAUUCGGUGAAUACCCGGAUGUUCUGACGGUACCGGAAGAAUAAGCACCGGCUAACUUCGUGCCAGCAGCCGCGGUAAUACGAAGGGUGCAAGCGUUACUCGGAAUUACUGGGCGUAAAGCGUGCGUAGGUGGUUGUUUAAGUCUGAUGUGGAAGCCCUGGGCUCAACCUGGGAAUGGCAUUGGAAACUGGGCAGCUAGAGUGCGGUAGAGGGUAGUGGAAUUCCCGGUGUAGCAGUGAAAUGCGUAGAGAUCGGGAGGAACAUCGGUGGCGAAGGCGACUGCCUGGACCAGCACUGACACUGAGGCACGAAAGCGUGGGGAGCAAACA
rnacentral:rRNA from 1 species